rnacentral:lncRNA from 1 species
CGCUGGACUCGUUUAUGAAUCGGUAAAGUAAUAGAUGUCUGGGUAUCUUAUCAUGUACGUACUUCCAAGAUCCAAGGUGAUGCCUCAAACAAUUGAGGCAGCAAGUUUCACAUGUAACCAUUGAAUCCACUCGAUCAUUCACAUGACGUGUACCACAUGAUAGAUAGCGGCAAGGCAAAUCAUGUCCAUCUGAUGGAUCGAUCAUCUCUUGUUGGGCCUUCUUGUUUUGUUGCUUUUAUGACACAAGUGCAAUUUGCCAUGAACAUACAUGUAAUGCACAUGAGAAAAUUUAAGUG